rnacentral:rRNA from 1 species
UACGUAGGGGGCAAGCGUUGUCCGGAAUCACUGGGCGUAAAGCGCGCGCAGGCGGCUGUCUACGUCCGGGGUGAAAGCCCAGAGCUCAACUCUGGGACUGCCUUGGAUACGGGAUAGCUUGAGGAUCGGAGAGGCAAGGGGAAUUCCACGUGUAGCGGUGAAAUGCGUAGAUAUCUGGAGGAACACCGGUGGCGAAGGCGGCAUCCUGGACCAACACUGACGCUGAGGAGCGAAAGCCAGGGGAGCAAACGGG